GAGAGCCAGAGACUGGGGGCUUAUUCUCUUGACACCCCACAGCCAUCCAGGGCUAACGGCUUCUCUGCCAACCCUCUCACCUAGGCGGGGUCCCAGGCUGAGAGGCACCAGGCUGCAGCUGGGUCUAGUCUCAGGAGAAAGCCCAUUGUUUGAGACAGGGCUGCCCUACAUUGCCCUGGCAGCCCGAAGGGGAUGGUGCUGAUGUGCCUAGGUAAUCCUGGCCUUCCCAAAAGGCUUGAUGAACAUGUGCUAAUUAAGCAUCACAGCUCUUCUGAGAGGCAGCAGCUGCAGCCGGGGGCACGUGCUCCAGCUCCUGUCAUCUGUGAAGCUUCAUUACGGGAGUUGUCAAGCUCGGGUGUUGCAGUAUUGCUUGUGCAAACUACCAGGAUCUGGAUACAUCAGCGCGUGGUCAGGAAGCCUUCAAAGACUACAUUGAUGAAGCCAGGGGUGCUUUCCUCCUCAAGCUGGUGCUGACUGAGACACUAGAGCAGCGAUAAGGGACACU